rnacentral:lncRNA from 1 species
ACCUGUUUCCGAGCGGAGAGCGCGGGCCGUUUUCUUUCCUGGUGUCCCGUCGCGGCUUGGGACCCGGCAAGAUGGGCAAGAAGGGCAAGAAGGAGAAGAAGGGCCGCGGCGCGGAGAAGACGGCCGCCAAGAUGGAGAAGAAGGUGUCUAAGCGCUCGCGGAAGGAGGAGAGGGCAAAUAAUCAUCACAGCAGCCCUGAGCAGUGAGCAGCAGAUGGUUAAGUGAAGAAGGCACUGGAGCCACGGGGUAUCCCGUAGCAGCUGAUGGCGGCCAUCACGGUUGUCUCCUUCCCUCUGGUCCUCAGCCCGGGGUCUGCAGGAGGAUCCGUCCUGACCUUGGGGUUGAGUGUUCUGCGGCUGCUGCUCAUGGAUUCCCUAACCGGGGCCAGUUUUAUGGCCUGCCGUGCGCCAGGCACAGCUCCCUGGGCUUUACUCCUCACGAGCAGAUGGAGUCCUGCUCUGUCACCCAGAGCAAGUGUCGCAGUGGCAUGAUCUCAGCUCAUUGCAACCUCUGCCUCCCAGGCUCAAGCAAUUCUCCUGCCUCAGCCUCCCGAGUAGUUUGGGA